UUCAACUACUUUUGUUAAUUCAGACCAUUUAUAAAAUCCAUGAAAUGUAAUGCAUGAUGAGAUGUAUAUACAAUAAACAGUUAAAUCCUAUGGCUGGGAUUACCUUUGACCAAUGUUAUUUAUCUUCGAUUUCAACUUCUUUUGUGUAAAAUAGGCACAACAGCACUUUGAUGAGUUUGAUACUAAUUACGAAGAUGAAGCGGAGGUUGUUGAUGAGUUUGACAGCGACUUUGAUGAAGAUGAAGCCGAGCCAGAUGAUGAGGAAAAUGAUGUUGAUGAGAGGACAUGGACUAAGAAGUGGUGAAUGUUUCCUGGACGCAAAUCAUGGACGGUCAACAUUUAUGGUAAAGCCUUUUCUAGUAUAAUCAAUAUGGACCAACUAUUCUCCAAGCCAUUCAUCUUGUGGUUAGGAUAAUCUGAUAACUAUGAUUCUUGACACAGAUUUCCAAGGUGGAACACAUACUGGGAAAUGGUACUAUGAGGUCGACCUCAUGGGAGCUUCCCAUGAGGUCGAGCUGUGUGGGCUCCACUGUAAUAUGUAUCGAACAUCCACACUGUGCAUUUAGUGGGCCCCUCUAGGUUAAUGGAUAUCCCAAAAAUCAUCUGUAUCCGGAACUCAAGUGCACCAUACCAUCUGAAAGUGUGAAAUCGUGCUUAAAACAUCUAAAAGCACUUGUUGGGACCCUUCUAAUUUUUGGGCCAGGGAGCAGACAACAUGAGGCCCCAGCAAGUGAAUGGCUGGG